UACGAAGGGGGCUAGCGUUGCUCGGAAUUACUGGGCGUAAAGCGCACGUAGGCGGCGAUUCAAGUCAGAGGUGAAAGCCCGGGGCUCAACUCCGGAACUGCCUUUGAAACUAGAUUGCUAGAAUCUUGGAGAGGCGAGUGGAAUUCCGAGUGUAGAGGUGAAAUUCGUAGAUAUUCGGAAGAACACCAGUGGCGAAGGCGACUCGCUGGACAAGUAUUGACGCUGAGGUGCGAAAGCGUGGGGAGCAAACAGG
rnacentral:rRNA from 1 species